UACGUAGGGUGCGAGCGUUAAUCGGAAUUACUGGGCGUAAAGCGUGCGCAGGCGGUUUGCUAAGACAGGUGUGAAAUCCCCGGGCUUAACCUGGGAACUGCGCUUGUAACUGGCAAGCUAGAGUGUGGCAGAGGGGGGUGGAAUUCCACGUGUAGCAGUGAAAUGUGUAGAGAUGUGGAGGAACACCGAUGGCGAAGGCAGCCCCCUGGGCUAACACUGACGCUCAUGCACGAAAGCGUGGGGAGCAAACAGG
rnacentral:rRNA from 1 species